AUACGGAGGAUCCGAGCGUUAUCCGGAUUUAUUGGGUUUAAAGGGAGCGUAGGCGGACUAUUAAGUCAGCUGUGAAAGUUUGCGGCUCAACCGUAAAAUUGCAGUUGAUACUGGUCGUCUUGAGUGCAGUAGAGGUAGGCGGAAUUCGUGGUGUAGCGGUGAAAUGCUUAGAUAUCACGAAGUACUCCGAUUGCGAAGGCAGCUUACUGGACUGUAACUGACGCUGAUGCUCGAAAGUGUGGGUAUCAAACAGGAUUAGAUACCCUGGUAGUCCACACAGUAAACGAUGAAUACUCGCUGUUUGCGAUAUACGGCAAGCGGCCAAGCGAAAGCAUUAAGUAUUCCACCUGGGGAGUACGCCGGCAACGGUGAAACUCAAAGGAAUUGGCGGGG
rnacentral:rRNA from 1 species